rnacentral:tRNA from 1 species
GGACGAUUAGCUCAGUUGGUUAGAGCGCUUCGUUUACAUCGAAGAGGUCAUAGGUCCGAGCCCUAUAUCGUCCACCA